UACGUAGGGUGCAAGCGUUAAUCGGAAUUACUGGGCGUAAAGCGUGCGCAGGCGGUUAUGCAAGACAGGUGUGAAAUCCCCGGGCUUAACCUGGGAACUGCAUUUGUGACUGCAUUGCUGGAGUGCGGCAGAGGGGGAUGGAAUUCCGCGUGUAGCAGUGAAAUGCGUAGAUAUGCGGAGGAACACCGAUGGCGAAGGCAAUCCCCUGGGCCUGCACUGACGCUCAUGCACGAAAGCGUGGGGAGCAAACAGG
rnacentral:rRNA from 1 species